rnacentral:rRNA from 1 species
CGGACGGGUGAGUAACGCGUGGGUAACCUGCCUCAUACAGGGGGAUAACAGUUGGAAACGACUGCUAAUACCGCAUAAGCGCACAGGACCGCAUGGUCUGGUGUGAAAAACUCCGGUGGUAUGAGAUGGACCCGCGUCUGAUUAGCUAGUUGGUGGGGUAACGGCCUACCAAGGCGACGAUCAGUAGCCGACCUGAGAGGGUGACCGGCCACAUUGGGACUGAGACACGGCCCAGACUCCUACGGGAGGCAGCAGUGGGGGAUAUUGCACAAUGGAGGAAACUCUGAUGCAGCAACGCCGCGUGAGGGAAGAAGGUUUUCGGAUUGUAAACCUCUGUUUUAGUGAAGAAACAAAUGACGGUAGCUAAAGAGGAAGCCACGGCUAACUACGUG